CACAAACCUCAACAAGACUCAUCUAAGAGGAAUGCUGGUGGAAGAUUUUAAAGCAGGUCAGACGGUGGUCAGGUGCACAUUCAUGCUCUCUGUUUUUUUUAUUUUUUAUUUCCCAGUGUAUAUCCCACUGUGUACAGAUUCCUAACAACACAUCAGCAUUAACAGUCUCCCUCUCGACCAGUGUCCUGAACAAGGCCACUCGCAGCGUGUAAAACAGCGUUUUGCGCCUCUCUGACAGGGUCGGUCAUGCUUGUGUGAUGCUGGACAGGACACCAUAUGCUGGUGGCCGGGAACAUUAGUCAUCAAAUUGUUAAGUGGUGGGUCAGGCUGUGUCUUUGAGCUGGAGAGAGCAGGACACAGCACCUUGACUGUUUAAGACAGGCAGGAACGCAUGGCUGGCCAUGUGGAGAAGGCAAUUAAUAGAGGCGGCAGCUUACAAGGGGUGUCUGCCGAGGACCGAGGUGUGGGCAAGUGUGUUGGAACGGGAGGCUCAGGUCUGGAGAAGCGGAGCAGAAUGAAGAAUCCUAUUGAUUGCUGAAUCCCGAUUUUACAGCAGGGCGUUUCUCCUCCUCGCAGCCCACAUUCUUCCA
rnacentral:lncRNA from 1 species